rnacentral:lncRNA from 13 species
AUGGCCUUGCUCUCUUACCCAGACUGGUGUAAUUUCCUCAUCCCAGCACUGCUCUGCCCAUCCUUCUACUCUUCUUCCUCUUUGGUAGAAAAUCCUCAAAAUCUUACUCUAAGAGAAAACCCCUCUGAGAGCCCAGUGAAAUCCUCCUUUUUCAAUGAAAGAGAAAAACAAAGGUUCUGUCAAAGCCUAAACGUAUGCUGCCUGCUUGUCACAGUGAAUGUCAUGCAUAGGACCUGUCUCUGAAGCUUUUGAGAGAAAAGAACAAUUCCUUUCAAGAUGAAAACAUUGACAUGUUUAACUGUGUUUACAUUAUAUUUUUAGAUCCAUGUUAACAAUAUACACAGCUUAUAUAUUCAGAUGAUUUCAAGCAGGUGACAGCGACAUAGUUUGUACACACAAGAAAAUGUACCUGGAAGUGUUCAAAAAACAAACCAUUGAGGCCAUGGUUUGGUGGUGAACUCAGUUGUGGUGCUAGGUUGAUGGUUGAUGGCUGGACUUGAUAAUCUUAGAGGUCUUCUCCAACCUUAAUGAUUCCAUAUGUGCCAAAAGCCAUAGAACAGGUACGUAAACCUCAUUUUAAUGAACAUCAUUUGUGUGGGCAGCCUAUACUGCAUAAUAUACAAUGUGCAUCACCCUACAGAGCACAGAUACAGACAUUGGGCAAGACAAAAAUUAGUCAGAGGCAGCAUAAGAUGCUGCUGGAAUGGGUCAGAGUCCAUAGUGCUGCAUGAUCUAUGGUGACAAGGACAGCAUUGCUUUCACAUCUGCACAGGAAGUAGCACAGCUUCUAACAGGACAAGGACAUUGGUUGGAAUUAUUUGAGGAAAAGAGGCUAUGCUGAACCAAAUAAAAUCAGAAGAAAAGCAGAGAAACCUACAGUUCUCCCUCUCCUUUCUGUAUUUUGCAAAGACACAGAUGUUAUGUGCAUUGGAGCAUGGGGCAGAACGUCUCAGCUAGCAAAGACCAGGGGCAGGGUGAUGUGUAUGAACUAAGGGCAGUCAGAACUGGCCUCACCUAGUCUUUGUACCUUAAUGAAAACUGCUAUAUAAGCAUUUAUCUUCCAAGAUUUAUAUGGAUUAUUGCCAGUUAAUUUAAAUACCGAACAGAUUACUUUUCUCUCUGUCAGAUCAAAAAUAUUUAGGGUCACACCCUAAGAAGAGGACUGAAGAGUAAUAAAGAAAUCUUAACUAUCCAUGCAGUGGUGUCAGUGCUAUGUACUGCUUAAAGCUCUUAUGAUAAAAGACAAAAGUCACUUUUCAAGCACAGUCAUGCCAGUGAAGAUGGCAUUCAGGUACUGAAUGAGUGCCACUUGUACUUAUUUACCAGUGGAUAACAAGACUUCUGGUCUUAGGGUCCCAGCUCACUAUUAUGGAUUCUUAGAAGCAGUCCUUUUGUUCUACUGAAAGCAAAACAUGGUGUACACAAACAGAAUCUUUGGUGCUUUUGCUGCCAUCCAGACAAAAAUGCCAUGGCAUGCUGUAGGGAGCAGCAUGGCCAUGCUGCCUUUGCCACCUGGAAGGCCAAUCUGGCUGCUGCUGGGCAAAGAGAGGGUUGGUCACAGGAGGUGAUGGCUAUUGCUAGAGGAGCAUGUGGGAAAAACAUAAAUGGUUUCCCAGGAUUCAGUUGUCCCUGACCUAGUCACAGCCAUCUCCUCCCAGAGAUGACAAGAUUCAACAUUACCUGUAGUACUGGCAUACCCUGAAACAACAGCUAUGAAAUCAUGACAGAAAUUCAUUGCUACAAGCUUCUAGAAGUUGGAAGGUCAUUAGCUGUCUUAGCAAUAAAUAAUGCAGAAGACAGAAUUUUUAAAGAGGAUAUAAUGUGCCUGAGAGCUGCUACCAUGCUCAUUACUGAUAUCUGCCAAAAUCGCGUGUGUCAUCAUGGAUGAAAGUAGUCAAACACCAGAUCUUGAGAUCUUGAUUUGAGCUGGCAUCAUUUUAGUUGGUAUUUUCAGUCUGAAAACAGCACAGAUAUGUUACAAAUUGAUGCUUGUGACUGGCAGGUUUCAACAGGAG